AAAAACUCCGGUGGUAUGAGAUGGACCCGCGUCUGAUUAGCUAGUUGGUGGGGUAACGGCCUACCAAGGCGACGAUCAGUAGCCGACCUGAGAGGGUGACCGGCCACAUUGGGACUGAGACACGGCCCAAACUCCUACGGGAGGCAGCAGUGGGGAAUAUUGCACAAUGGGGGAAACCCUGAUGCAGCAACGCCGCGUGAGUGAAGAAGUAUUUCGGUAUGUAAAGCUCUAUCAGCAGGGAAGAAAAUGACGGUACCUGAGUAAGAAGCCCCGGCUAACUACGUGCCAGCAGCCGCGGUAAUACGUAGGGGGCAAGCGUUAUCCGGAUUUACUGGGUGUAAAGGGAGCGUAGACGGCGAUGCAAGUCUGAAGUGAAAGCCCGGGGCUCAACCCCGGGACUGCUUUGGAAACUGUAUGGCUGGAGUGCUGGAGAGGCAAGCGGAAUUCCUAGUGUAGCGGUGAAAUGCGUAGAUAUUAGGAAGAACACCAGUGGCGAAGGCGGCUUGCUGGACAGUAACUGACGUUGAGGCUCGAAAGCGUGGGGAGCAAACAGGAUUAGAUACCCUGGUAGUCCACGCUGUAAACGAUGAAUGCUAGGUGUUGGGGAGCAAAGCUUCUCGGUGCC
rnacentral:rRNA from 1 species